GAUGAACGCUGGCGGCGUGCUUAACACAUGCAAGUCGAACGAAGCACUCUAUUUGAUUUUCUUCGGAAAUGAAGAUUUUGUGACUGAGUGGCGGACGGGUGAGUAACGCGUGGGUAACCUGCCUCAUACAGGGGGAUAACAGUUGGAAACGACUGCUAAUACCGCAUAAGCGCACAGGAUCGCAUGAUCCGGUGUGAAAAACUCCGGUGGUAUGAGAUGGACCCGCGUCUGAUUAGCCAGUUGGCAGGGUGACGGCCUACCAAAGCGACGAUCAGUAGCCGACCUGAGAGGGUGACCGGCCACAUUGGGACUGAGACACGGCCCAAACUCCUACGGGAGGCAGCAGUGGGGAAUAUUGCACAAUGGGGGAAACCCUGAUGCAGCGACGCCGCGUGAGCGAAGAAGUAUUUCGGUAUGUAAAGCUCUAUCAGCAGGGAAGAAGAAUGACG
rnacentral:rRNA from 1 species